rnacentral:rRNA from 1 species
GACGGGGGCCCGCACAAGCGGUGGAGCAUGUGGUUUAAUUCGAUGAUACGCGAGAAACCUUACCAGGGCUUGACAUAUACAGGAAUGUUGUAGAGAUACAGCAGCCGCUUGCGGUCUGUAUACAGGUGCUGCAUGGCUGUCGUCAGCUCGUGCUGUGAAGUGUUGGGUUAAGUCCCGCAACGAGCGCAACCCUAUCAUCUGUUGCCAGCAUUUAAGGUGGGGACUCAGAUGAGACUGCCGGUGACAAACCGGAGGAAGUGGGGACGACGUCAAGUCAUCAUGGCCCUUAUGUCCCGGGCUACACACGUGCUACAAUGGCCGGUACAGAGUGAAGCGAGACCGCGAGGUGAAGCAAAACGCAGAAAGCCGGUCUCAGUACGGAUUGGAGUCUGAAACUCGACUUCAUGAAGUUGGAAUCGCUAGUAAUCGCGCAUCAGCAUGGCGCGGUGAAUACGUUCCCGGGCCUU